rfam:Arsukibacterium sp. MJ3 EFN4V4QB, whole genome shotgun sequence.
GCAGAUGUGGUGGAAUUGGUAGACACGCAAGCUUCAGGUGUUUGUGCCCACAAGGCGUGAGAGUUCGAGUCUCUCCAUCUGCA